ACGGUUACCUUGUUACGACUUAGCCCCAGUCACCGGUUUUACCCUAGGGCGCUCCUUGCGGCAGCGCACUUCAGGCACCCCCGGCUUCCAUGGCUUGACGGGCGGUGUGUACAAGGCCCGGGAACGUAUUCACCGCGCCGUGGCUGAUGCGCGAUUACUAGCGAAUCCAGCUUCAUGGAGUCGGGUUGCAGACUCCAAUCCGAACUGAGACAGGCUUUCGGGUUCCGCUCCCUGUCGCCAGGUGGCUUCCCGCUGUACCUGCCAUUGUAACACGUGUGUCGCCCCGGACGUAAGGGCCGUGCUGAUUUGACGUCAUCCCCGCCUUCCUCGCAGCUUGCGCCGGCAGUCUCGACAGAGUCCUCAGCCUAACCUGUUAGCAACUGUCGAUGGGGGUUGCGCUCGUUAUGGCACUUAAGCCGACACCUCACGGCACGAGCUGACGACAACCAUGCAGCACCUCGACACAGGCUCCGUAGAGCCGACCCCUUUCAGGGCCGUUCCUGUGUCGUUUGAGCCCGGGUAAGGUUCCUCGCGUAUCAUCGAAUUAAACCACAUGUUCCUCCGCUUGUGCGGGCCCCCGUCAAUUCCUUUGAGUUUCACCGUUGCCGGCGUACUCCCCAGGUGG
rnacentral:rRNA from 1 species